GAAAGGCAGUGGAUUGUUGACCAACUGGGUCAACUGUGCCAAUCAUUCACAGUGAGUUAAAAGGCAAGAGACUGAAAUAAAUAAGACUUCACUCAACACAGAGAAGAUGAGACAAUGAGGAAAAAAGAGAAA